AUAAUAUUAAUGAAUUCUUUAAAAAGUAGAAGAAAAGGAAAGCCAUUGACAGGCAAAUCUUUUCCCUGCAGUGUGAAGACUUCAUAAAGAAAUUCAAUUCUGCCAUGGCAAGUAAAAAAGCUUGAAGUUGGGCUUCCUCCAGCCCAGAAUGCUGCUGAAGUGCAGACAGCAUAUCUAAUGCAAGCUCCACUUCAAACCCUCGGGGCUGGCUCGCACUGUAACAGGCAGACAGUAAGAAUGCACACCCACGGUCACCCGUACUGGUAACAGACUUUAAGUGUGUGCUCCACCCCGGCGGC
rnacentral:lncRNA from 1 species